UUGUGGAGCAGCUCUUGGCUUGGGAGAAAAGGCUUUUUGGGCAAGUUAAGUUAUACUACUACUUCCUUAUUUUUAUAUGAAAUUUAAAGUAUUAAAUAUUUAUAUUUGGGUGUCUCAUGUGCUAUUUGGUGAUGUUUAUGUGUUGUCAGGUUUGGUGGGACUAAGAAAGCUAAGGAAUGAGUGUCUUUAAAGAUAAUGGAAAAGAUGGAAAGUAAAAAGGUGUCAAAAUACCCUAAUAAAUCAAAGAGGCAACUUAGUGGUUUCUUCGUGCGAAAGGAAUCACGUUGAAGCAUAAUAAGGAGAAGAGAAGCCAUGCGAACCCUUACGGUAAAACUCAAAGUCCCGUAACUUCUUCGUCCGAGCUCUAAUCGCCGCACCGUUUGCGGCCACGCGUUCACCACGUCGAGCUCUACGUUUCUACCGGAACAAUUUUAUAGGAUCCAAUUAGCUUGAGAAAAAUGUUCACUCUUACUU